CAGUAAAUGGAAGCGCUGAACACUGAUUAUUUUGCUUCUGUGUGACUCGAGAAAGAGAAAGGAGAGAAGAAUUAAGUACAGCUAAAGGAAUUUACAUUUCUUUUGGAGAAGUUUGCAGAGGGACCACGUAAACGAAAUGAAUUUCUUUUUUGCAAGAAAUCAUCAUUAUUUAUUGAAUUGGAAAGCUAGCAGACUGAUGGUCCCCUGGG
rnacentral:lncRNA from 1 species